rnacentral:rRNA from 1 species
AUUGAACGCUGGCGGCAGGCCUAACACAUGCAAGUCGAGCGAGCGGCGGACGGGUGAGUAAUGUAUGGGGACUGCCCGAUAGAGGGGGAUAACUACUGGAAACGGUGGCUAAUACCGCAUACUGUCGGAUAACCCAUAUGGGAUUAGCUAGUAGGUAAGGUAAUGGCUUACCUAGGCGACCAUCCCUAGCUGGUCUGAGAGGAUGAUCAGCCAGACUGGGACUGAGACACGGCCCAGACCACUACGGAGUGAGCAGUGGGGAAUAAUGCACAGUGGGGGCAAGCCUGAUGCAGCCGUGCGGCUUGUAUGAAGAGGGCCCUAGGGUUGUAAAGUUCUUGCAGUCGGGAGGCGUUACCGACAGAAGAAGCACCGGCUAACUCCGGGCCAGCAGCCGCGGUAAUAC